rnacentral:rRNA from 1 species
GAUGAACGCUAGCGAUAGGCUUAACACAUGCAAGUCGAGGGGCAGCACAAGGUAGCUUGCUAUCUGGGUGGCGACCGGCGCACGGGUGCGUAACGCGUAUGCAACUUGCCCUAUACAGGAGGAUAACCCGUCGAAAGACGGACUAAUACUGCGUAUGCUCACAACUUGCCAUCAAGUGGUGAGGAAAGAAAUUCGGUAUAGGAUAGGCAUGCGUCCCAUUAGCUUGUUGGUGAGGUAACGGCUCACCAAGGCAACGAUGGGUAGGGGAACUGAGAGGUUUAUCCCCCACACUGGUACUGAGACACGGACCAGACUCCUACGGGAGGCAGCAGUGAGGAAUAUUGGUCAAUGGGCGCGAGCCUGAACCAGCCAAGUCGCGUGAAGGAUGACUGUCUUAUGGAUUGUAAACUUCUUUUAUACGGGAAUAACAAGAGUCACGUGUGACUCCCUGCAUGUACCGUAUGAAUAAGCAUCGGCUAACUCCGUG